UACGUAGGGUGCAAGCGUUGUCCGGAAUUAUUGGGCGUAAAGAGCUCGUAGGCGGUUUGUCGCGUCGAAUGUGAAAACCCGGGGCUCAACCCCGGGCCUGCAUUCGAUACGGGCAGACUAGAGUUCGGUAGGGGAGUCUGGAAUUCCUGGUGUAGCGGUGAAAUGCGCAGAUAUCGGGAGGAACACCGGUGGCGAAGGCGGUUCUCUGGGCCUUACCUGACGCUGAGGAGCGAAAGCGUGGGGAGCGAACAGG
rnacentral:rRNA from 1 species